rnacentral:rRNA from 1 species
GACGAACGCUGGCGGCGUGCUUAACACAUGCAAGUCGAACGGAAAGGCCCUGCUUUUGUGGGGUGCUCGAGUGGCGAACGGGUGAGUAACACGUGAGUAACCUGCCCUUGACUUUGGGAUAACUUCAGGAAACUGGGGCUAAUACCGGAUAGGAGCUCCUGCUGCAUGGUGGGGGUUGGAAAGUGUCGGCGGUGGGGGAUGGACUCGCGGGUUAUCAGCUGGUUGGUGGGGUAGUGGCGUACCAAGGCUUUGACGGGUAGCCGGCCUGAGAGGGUGACCGGCGACAUUGGGCCUGAGAUACGCACCAGAAUCCUACGGGAGGCAGUAGUGGGGAAUAUUGCACAAUGGGCGGAAGCCUGAUGCAGCAACGCCGCGUGCGGGAUGACGGCCUUCGGGUUGUAAACCGCUUUCGCCUGUGCCGAAGCGUGAGUGACGGUAAUGGGUAAAGAAGCACCGGCUAACUACGUG